rnacentral:rRNA from 1 species
CCUACGGGAGGCUGCAGUGGGGAAUAUUGCACAAUGGGGGAAACCCUGAUGCAGCGACGCCGCGUGAGUGAAGAAGUAUUUCGGUACGUAAAGCUCUAUCAGCAGGGAAGAAAAUGACGGUACCUGACUAAGAAGCCCCGGCUAACUACGUGCCAGCAGCCGCGGUAAUACGUAGGGGGCAAGCGUUAUCCGGAUUUACUGGGUGUAAAGGGAGCGUAGACGGCAGCGCAAGUCGGGAGUGAAAUCCCAUGGCUUAACCAUGGAACUGCUUUGGAAACUGUUCAGCUAGAGUGCAGGAGAGGUAAGCGGAAUUCCUAGUGUAGCGGUGAAAUGCGUAGAUAUUAGGAGGAACACCAGUGGCGAAGGCGGCUUACUGGACUGUAACUGACGUUGAGGCUCGAAAGCGUGGGGAGCAAACAGGAUUAGAUACCCCAGUAGUC